AACCCAUUGCCUCUGAGAACGGUGGAAAAACAAUUAUGCCACAGUGGUGAAGAAUCAAGUGAAUUCUCAGGAGCUCCACAAUUAUGGUCUUUGAUGGGACUGAAAAUUCCGUGCUCUAAAUUUCUUUCAUCUAUCAUGUAAAACCAUUCUAUCCAAAGGCUUUGACUGCUAUUUUAGAAUAGGACAGUCCCAAAUUGAAG